rnacentral:rRNA from 1 species
UACGUAGGGCGCAAGCGUUGUCCGGAAUUAUUGGGCGUAAAGAGCUCGUAGGCGGUCUGUUACGUCCGCUGUGAAAACCCAGGGCUUAACCCUGGGCUUGCAGUGGAUACGGGCAGACUAGAGGCAGGUAGGGGAGAAUGGAAUUCCCGGUGUAGCGGUGAAAUGCGCAGAUAUCGGGAGGAACACCGGUGGCGAAGGCGGUUCUCUGGGCCUGACCUGACGCUGAGGAGCGAAGGCCAGGGGAGCAAACGGG